rnacentral:rRNA from 1 species
UACAGAGGUCCCAAGCGUUGUUCGGAUUCAUUGGGCGUAAAGGGUGUGUAGGUGGCGCCGUAAGUCGGGUGUGAAAUCUCGGGGCUUAACUCCGAAACUGCAUUCGAUACUGCGGUGCUUGAGGACUGGAGAGGAGACUGGAAUUUACGGUGUAGCGGUGAAAUGCGUAGAUAUCGGGAGGAACACCGGUGGCGAAGGCGGCCCCCGGUUGGAUCAGCUGACGCUGAGACGCGAAAGCGUGGGGAGCAAA